GGGGAAUCUUCCGCAAUGGGCGAAAGCCUGACGGAGCAAUACCGCGUGAGGGAGGAAGGCUCUUGGGUUGUAAACCUCUUUUCUCAGGGAAGAAAAAAAUGACGGUACCUGAGGAAUAAGCAUCGGCUAACUCCGUGCCAGCAGCCGCGGUAAUACGGAGGAUGCAAGCGUUAUCCGGAAUGAUUGGGCGGAAAGGGGCCGCAGGGGGCAUUGUAAGUCUGCUGUGAAAGAUGUUGGCUCAACCAAAUAAAGGCAGUGGAAACUACAAAGCUAGAGGUUGGGCGGGGCAGAGGGGAAUGC
rnacentral:rRNA from 1 species